UGCCAUCCGCCGCGGUAAUACGGAGGGUGCAAGCGUUGCUCGGAAUUAUUGGGCGUAAAGGGUGUGUAGACGGUAUACUAAGCUUGCUGUUAAAUCCUCCGGCUUAACCGGAGAAAAGCAGUGGGAACUGGUAAACUAGAGGGUGGAAGAGAGAAGUGGAAUUCCCGGAGUAGCGGUAAAAUGCGUAGAUCUCGGGAGGAACACCGAUGGCGAAGGCAGCUUCUUGGUCCAUCCCUGACGUUGAGACACGAAAGCGUGGGGAGCAAACAGGAUUAGAUA
rnacentral:rRNA from 1 species